rnacentral:ncRNA from 2 species
CGCACUGCUCCGGGGUGUGCCUCACGUUUUGACGUGCUGGCGCUGAGAUGGAAUACCGAACCCGCUGAACUUGAUCCGGUUCAUACCGGCGAAAGAAGAGCUGUACCUGAUGCG